rnacentral:sRNA from 1 species
GUCGAGGCUUAGGCUCGACUGUCUUGGCGUCGCGGCGACGCUGUGGCGCUGCUUGUAACCCAUGUUGCUUCACGGAGGAUAUGGCUAUGAGAA